rnacentral:rRNA from 1 species
UGGGGAAUUUUGGACAAUGGGGGAAACCCUGAUCCAGCCAUCCCGCGUGUGCGAUGAAGGCCUUCGGGUUGUAAAGCACUUUUGGCAGGAAAGAAACGUCAUGGGUUAAUACCCCGUGAAACUGACGGUACCUGCAGAAUAAGCACCGGCUAACUACGUGCCAGCAGCCGCGGUAAUACGUAGGGUGCAAGCGUUAAUCGGAAUUACUGGGCGUAAAGCGUGCGCAGGCGGUUCGGAAAGAAAGAUGUGAAAUCCCAGAGCUCAACUUUGGAACUGCAUUUUUAACUACCGGGCUAGAGUGUGUCAGAGGGAGGUGGAAUUCCGCGUGUAGCAGUGAAAUGCGUAGAUAUGCGGAGGAACAUCGAUGGCGAAGGCAGCCUCCUGGGAUAACACUGACGCUCAUGCACGAAAGCGUGGGGAGCAAACAGG